rnacentral:lncRNA from 1 species
UCGAGGACAGCAAGGCCAGAUCAUCCCACCUCCCUGGCCACCUUACCCCCUCCUUCCUCGGCUCCCAGCCUCCUCACGGCCCACGAUGCUCCAGGACCCCAGCAACCUGGGAGUUGAGGCUGGCUCUCCACCUGCGCAAGUGUGGGCAACAGAUGCAACUUGAUUCUCUGCAGAAAAGAUAAUCUUAAAGCUUCAGGAGUCCUUGACAACUGCCCUAUUCCUGGAAGCCCACCGAAAUUACUCAACUAAGCAGAUGUCUGGGACCAAAGAAAAUCACAAAUGUUCCUGGAAAAUUGCAGAGUUAAGCAAACCUCUGUUAAGUCAUGUUUGAAUGAUUACCAAGGUUCUACGAAAGUCCUGUGACCACUUCCUAAUUGCAAGAAGAAAACAACCAAAAG